AAGCUGAUACGAAUUUAUAGCAAAACUAGUUAAGUAAUAAUAUGAGUUCUUUCGAAGGCAAGUAUAAAAUAAUUUACAACUGGUGUUUUUCAGCCGUAGAUCGUUGUGUUAAAAAAAAAAAACAAACAUAUUCUUCGCUCGACUAUAAUAUUUUUAUUACUACGUGAAGGUACCUACUCAGUUUUCACGUUCUUUACUGAUGUGUAAAAUAAAUUUUACUACGGGUCAUGAAUAAUAGUAUUUACUCAUUAUAGUUUACUACCAACUGACUGCACAGUUCAAGGAAUGUCUACUUAGCAUUG